GGUCGAAAGGGGAGGGUUCGAGUCAUUCAAAUGGUUUUCGAGUAGGAGAGGCAGGUUCUGAUGGAGAGGAUGAUGAUGACGAGGAUGAGGAUGAGGAUGAUGAAGAUGAGGAUUUUGUGGAGGAGAUAGAUGAAGAGGGAGAUGAAGAUGAUGUUGUGGAGGUUCAUGAGAUAGAAGACAGUGAUGAGGACGAGGAAGAGGAUGGUGUGGAAGAUGAUGAGGAUGACGACGACGAAGAGGAUGAAGAGGAAGUUGAUAAUGAUGAUGGGGAUACGGCAGAGCCAGAAAGUACGGGGAGGUUGAAUAGCACAGAAGGUGAGAUUGAUGGACAUGAACAUGGGGAAGAUGAUUCUGAUGAGGAUGAUGAUGGGGAGACUGGAGAGGAGGAGCAAGGUGUCGAGGAGGAUGGCAAUUUCGAUGAUGAUGAGGAUGCUGAAGAUGAGGUGAAAAUCUCUCCUUUUUUAGUUGGUUAUUUGUUUUUUCGUUUUUAUGUUUGAUAUGUCAUAAUUUGUUUGGUUUGUUUUUACUCUAAUGUUUCUUAUUAUUAGUUUUAUGAAAUAUGUAUAUAUAGUGUGUGUUUCUGCAAUUUGCAUGGUCAAUUUGCUUAUUGAUGCUAGAGUGUUGUUAGAAUUCUUAUAUUGUUGGAGCUUUGUAGCCAUUAAUUGAUUUGAUCUUUAAAUUGAUUGUUUUUGGAAAUACCUGUAAUGUUGGAAAUAUUGUUGUUGGAAGUCUUUGUAAUAGUAUCAGAUUUGCCCCAGGUAGUAACUUCAGGCUACUCCAAACAUGGAAGUUCGGUGCACAGAUUGAUUCUGUUGCCUUAGAAACCAAGCUGAUUUAUUAGAUCAAGUUGGUGUGUAAUAUAUAUUCUGCUUGAAGCUGUAUUAUGUGAUCUGCUUGAAGCGGUGUUGUGGAUGUAAUAUAUAUUCUGCUUGAAGCUGUGUAUUGUACAAAAUAUCUGAUGCAGGUACCUAACCGAGUUUUAUGUAAAACUGUGGAGAAACAUUUAACAGAUAAAGCAAAGCUCGUAAGAAGUUUGUCGAAUGAUGGUGGUUUGAUAAUCUAUAUGAUACUUGCAGCUUUAUCUACCUGCUCUUCCUCUAUUCAUAUGAUAAUAUUCUGCGCAGCCUGUCUAAUAUCUGUGGUAACUCUGAUUUUGCCUGAGAUUGAACCAUAUUUAGUUUUUCUGACCCAAAUAUUAUGCAUCAGUAUCUCGAAGAACGUUGCAGUGGAUUGUUUUCUGUUGGGUGAGAGUUCUGAGGAUCUAUUUUUUUUUUUUGGUUUUUUUGCUUGCAAUUAUAGUAGAGGAGCAUAUACUAGCUCUCAA
rnacentral:lncRNA from 1 species